rnacentral:rRNA from 1 species
AUUGAACGCUGGCGGCAUGCCUUACACAUGCAAGUCGAACGGCAGCGCGGACUUCGGUCUGGCGGCGAGUGGCGAACGGGUGAGUAAUACAUCGGAACGUACCCUGUUGUGGGGGAUAACUAGUCGAAAGAUUAGCUAAUACCGCAUACGACCUGAGGGUGAAAGUGGGGGACCGCAAGGCCUCACGCAGCAGGAGCGGCCGAUGUCUGAUUAGCUAGUUGGUGGGGUAAAGGCCCACCAAGGCGACGAUCAGUAGCUGGUCUGAGAGGACGAUCAGCCACACUGGGACUGAGACACGGCCCAGACUCCUACGGGAAGCAGCAGUGGGGAAUUUUGGACGAUGGGGGCAACCCUGAUCCAGCAAUGCCGCGUGUGUGAAGAAGGCCUUCGGGUUGUAAAGCACUUUUGUCCGGAAAGAAAUCGCGCUGGUUAAUACCUGGCGUGGAUGACGGUACCGGAAGAAUAAGCACCGGCUAACUACGUGCCAGCAGCCGCCGCAG